rnacentral:lncRNA from 1 species
GGAUAUAAAAUAUCUAAAUCUUAAUUAACGAGUACAAAAUUAAAAGGGCAUACAAAAUAAUAAAACCUAAUUAAACUAAAAAGAAAGAAAUAAAAAAAAAUCCUAAUUAAAUCUAUUACAUAGAAAGUUCAUGACAAAUGAAAUAAAUAAAUUAAAUUUAAGAAUGAAUUAAGAAUAUUUUUAGUCUAUAAUAAUAGAAACUUUUUUUUUAUGAAUUUAUGGAAAAACUUAUACUA